GUUGCACAUACCAGAUUGAGUUGCAAUUCAUUAAUAAUGUGACACAAAAUAUUCAUUCCUAUUUAAGUUGUAUUAAAUUAUGUUACUUCUUCAGUUUUAGGUUUUAUAAAGUACAUUUUAGAGUGCUAUUUUCCUUAUCAAAAACAUGAGAAAAGUUGAUGGGGGGGGGAUACGAGAGUUUUGUUUGGUUUUGGAACAAAUCCAAGUCAUAUUUCAAGGCACCAUGCAAUAGUUCAUUUGUUAUUAAAACAAAAAUAACCAAACCAAAAACAAAGAAACAAAACAACAACCAGCCCAUUCAACAAUGUAUGCAAAUAUGGCGGAUUGGCCUUGCUUCUCUUAAGGCCCCUAUCUCACUGAGGGGCAAAAAUUGCGACAGUCGGAGGAAGUAGAAAAACUUGAAUUCACGUCAGAGUUUGUUCAAGGUUCGCAAAACCUCCGUCAACAGUUAGUGAUUUUUCUUGCGACAGGAAAAGUACAGGUGAAUGUCUGGCGACCAUUGGGUGACCUUGAAUGAACCCCGAUGACCAUUCGCCGCCUUCGAAAACACUCGCAGUUGUUUGAAGUUCAGUGGCAAAUUAAAAGCAAUAUUUUAUUUUGGGUUGGGAGUGUUAACACAUGACUACUGUCGUGGUGGGACAGCAACUUUUAUGCGUGUUUGAUGUACAGUAAUCCUGAAAACAGCUCCCGCUGCUCACUCAGUGCUAUAAAACACAACAUGCACACUGGCAUUGUGCACCCAACAGGCACAAAACAUUUCUCGAGAAGUGACAUCACACACGCACACACCUACACAACCACACACUGCAUGUCUCCUUGGGAUGCAUAAAAAUCUUUAAAAUCU